AGUGACGCGCAUGAAUGGAUUAAC
rnacentral:ncRNA from 9 species